rnacentral:rRNA from 1 species
CCCUUAGAUGUUCUGGGCUGCACGCGCGCUACACUGAUGCGUUCAACGAGUUUAUGACCUUGCCCGAUAGGGUUGGGUAAUCUUUUUAAAUCGCAUCGUGAUGGGGAUUGAUCUUUGGAAUUGUGGAUCAUGAACGAGGAAUGCCUAGUAAGCGCAGUUCAUCAAACUGCGUUGAUUAAGUCCCUGCCCUUUGUACACACCGCCCGUCGCUCCUACCGAUUUCGAGUGGUCCGGUGAACCUUUCGGACUGAGAGUGGCCUCGAGUCGCUUUUAGAAAGUCAAGUAAACCACAUCACUUAGAGGAAGGAGAAGUCGUAACA